rnacentral:rRNA from 1 species
CAGCCGCCACGGUAAUACGUAGGGUGCAAGCGUUAAUCGGAAUUACUGGGCGUAAAGCGUGCGCAGGCGGCUUGUUAAGACAGAUGUGAAAUCCCCGGGCUCAACCUGGGAACUGCAUUUGUGACUGGCAGGCUAGAGUAUGGCAGAGGGGGAUGGAAUUCCGCGUGUAGCAGUGAAAUGCGUAGAUAUGCGGAGGAACACCGAUGGCGAAGGCAGCCCCCUGGGCCAAUACUGACGCUCAUGCACGAAAGCGUGGGGAGCAAACAGGAUUAGAGACCCGCGUAGUCCCUGUCUCUUAUAC